rnacentral:rRNA from 1 species
AAUGUUCUUCCCUUACAACAGAGCUUUACAACCCGAAGGCCUUAAUCACUCACGCGGCGUUGCUCGGUCAGGCUUGCGCCCAUUGCCGAAAAUUCCCUACUGCUGCCUCCCGUAG